GAUUGAACGCUGGCGGCAUGCCUUACACAUGCAAGUCGAACGGCAGCACGGGUGCUUGCACCUGGUGGCGAGUGGCGAACGGGUGAGUAAUACAUCGGAACAUGUCCUGUAGUGGGGGAUAGCCCGGCGAAAGCCGGAUUAAUACCGCAUACGAUCUACGGAUGAAAGCGGGGGACCUUCGGGCCUCGCGCUAUAGGGUUGGCCGAUGGCUGAUUAGCUAGUUGGUGGGGUAAAGGCCUACCAAGGCGACGAUCAGUAGCUGGUCUGAGAGGACGACCAGCCACACUGGGACUGAGACACGGCCCAGACUCCUACGGGAGGCAGCAGUGGGGAAUUUUGGACAAUGGGCGAAAGCCUGAUCCAGCAAUGCCGCGUGUGUGAAGAAGGCCUUCGGGUUGUAAAGCACUUUUGUCCGGAAAGAAAUCCUUGGCUCUAAUACAGUCGGGGGAUGACGGUACCGGAAGAAUAAGCACCGGCUAACUACGUGCCAGCAGCCGCGGUAAUACGUAGGGUGCGAGCGUUAAUCGGAAUUACUGGGCGUAAAGCGUGCGCAGGCGGUUUGCUAAGACCGAUGUGAAAUCCCCGGGCUCAACCUGGGAACUGCAUUGGUGACUGGCAGGCUAGAGUAUGGCAGAGGGGGGGUAGAAUUCCACGUGUAGCAGUGAAAUGCGUAGAGAUGUGGAGGAAUACCGAUGGCGAAGGCAGCCCCCUGGGCCCAAUACUGACGCUCAUGCACGAAAGCGUGGGGGAGCAAACAGGAUUAGAUACCCUGGUAGUCCACGCCCUAAACGAUGUCAACUAGUUGUUGGGGAUUCAUUUCCUUAGUAACGUAGCUAACGCGUGAAGUUGACCGCCUGGGGAGUACGGUCGCAAGAUUAAAACUCAAAGGAAUUGACGGGGACCCGCACAAGCGGUGGAUGAUGUGGAUUAAUUCGAUGCAACGCGAAAAACCUUACCUACCCUUGACAUGGUCGGAAUCCCGCUGAGAGGUGGGAGUGCUCGAAAGAGAACCGGCGCACAGGUGCUGCAUGGCUGUCGUCAGCUCGUGUCGUGAGAUGUUGGGUUAAGUCCCGCAACGAGCGCAACCCUUGUCCUUAGUUGCUACGCAAGAGCACUCUAAGGAGACUGCCGGUGACAAACCGGAGGAAGGUGGGGAUGACGUCAAGUCCUCAUGGCCCUUAUGGGUAGGGCUUCACACGUCAUACAAUGGUCGGAACAGAGGGUUGCCAACCCGCGAGGGGGAGCUAAUCCCAGAAAACCGAUCGUAGUCCGGAUUGCACUCUGCAACUCGAGUGCAUGAAGCUGGAAUCGCUAGUAAUCGCGGAUCAGCAUGCCGCGGUGAAUACGUUCCCGGGUCUUGUACACACCGCCC
rnacentral:rRNA from 1 species